AGAUGGUGUAUGGGAAUUGCUAAGUCAUGGCCUGAGCCAAUAAUUGAGCACCUGGUCAAGGGACACAGCCCGCCCUGGGAGCACAGGUGAAAGCAAUUCAUCUGCGUGACUAGAAGAGGUAGAACCAGGUUCCAGCCCUCUCUAAGCCUCAUUUGAGGGCUGGCUGCCCCAAGGAAGGGGCCUCUACCUGGAGACUCUUCCUUUUAGAGUAUUUGUCAAGCCCUUAUCGUUUGGGAUGGGUGGAAGGCUCUUAUUGCUUCACCUGUGCAGCUGCCACCAAAGGCCUUCUCCACUCCUGGAUCUCACUUCUGCCCUGCUGGCCAGCACAAUAAUUCUGCUACCAACACCUGAGCAGCCCCCAGCAGUGUUGGUUACAAGAAUGUGGUGCCCAUCCUGGAUGGCAGCUUCUGCUCCAUGCUGUGAUUCUAUGUCCCUUAGUUACAGCCUGGAGUUAAAUCCCCCUGGCUUCAUAAUGGAGUUACCAUGGAAUAAAGGAAAGAGGACCCAAAACUGGGACUGCAUUGCACAGUAUGUGAAGGUUUUGUGGCUGAACUCUGCGUACUAUUUUCCCACGAACUACUGUUAAAAUAAAAGGUCUAAUGUAUCUAACUGCAGUGAUUUCCAGAGUCAGUGCCUACUCUAACUGGGAUUCUAAAUGCAUUCUUCUAUUUUAAAGUACUCUUCAAACUUCCUGUAAAUAAGAGUUUCCCUUGUCUCUAGGCAUGAUUUCCCAAGGUUUCACAGCUCUAAUUAUUAUGAACAAUAUCUCUGUGGUCUCCUGCUAAAUCUCUCAAAAAUAUAACACACAAAAAAAAAUCUAUUUUGAAAGUUUCUUUGAACUUCAUAAGUCAAUGAUUCCUUAUAUAACUGCAAUAAAAACCUCUGGGAAAGAACCUAUUAUGAGCACAGUGUCAGCAAUUUUAGCUUAUUGCAGAUGGCUUGCUCCCCUUUCCACAUAACUAUUUAAUGAAUUUAAACUAAGGAUUGUAUAAUUUCAUAGCCAAUAGCAGCCAGGAGUUUUUACUGGGAGGUUUUUAAGCCGAGAUUACGGAUCUAGUUAGUAAAGGAUUUUAAUGAAGAAAAUAAUUCCUAAAUGCAAUUGGCUUCCACCACAUCAGCACCAGAGCACAUCCACCAGAUGCUGCUGGGAAUCUCCAGCACCUCAGCACAUAGUGGAUGCUGACUGGUGCUAUCCAACAACUGGAUGUUUUUUUAUUGGUGUUUUUAAAAUUUUUUUAUCCAUUUUGCAGCCAGUUAUCUUUACCCUUCAAGACAGCUCCUGCAGGCAGGGCUCUCUGUCCUCCCUUCUGCCCUUCACUCAGCUCUGAUACAACUGUUAGCGCUCCCCCGUAGGACAGCAGUUGGCAAUAAAACUAUUUAUAUCCCUAUGCUGUGCCCAUUCGCUGGUCAAAGUGUAAUUGCACUAAGAACUGUAAACAGAAUAAAAAUAAAACAAAGCAGCACUCUGUCUUCCUCUCUUUUUCCCACUCCACGUUACAGCAAUCCCAUUUGUAGGAUAAUAACGAAAAAGAGCCAACAAAAGAACCAAAGUGAGGAUAGAGUACAAAAAUACACAGUUUUUUACUCACAUUACAAUACCACUGUGGGCUUUAGUAUCAGUAAGAAGAGAAAAAGGUAUUUUUAUAGUGUGGAUUGCAACCCUCUCCCUUUCAAAACAGUUUUGAAAACCAACAACGGCACCAAAAGAAAUAGAAGGGUUGAAGUUUUGAUGUAACGUUUCAGCUUUCCUUUUUCGGCAUGACUUUUUAACUGGGAUGGUUUCUGUAUAAAAUUUCUGUACAAAUUGUUAAAGAUUUCAUAUUUGAUGCAAAGCAUAAAUUUACUGUUUGGUAUCAAUGCUGGAAAUCUCGCAUGCUUCUGGUGACCUUAUGUUUCUUUGAAUUAUUUUUUUUUUUUUACAGUUUUGACAUUCAUGGACAUGAAGGAUGGAAACAGGAUUGUAGAAUUGCUCAGACCUUGUAGAUCAUCAAGUCCAACCACAAACAUUUUUAGAGGACGAUUUGAAUCUCAACUAAAAUCCUGAGCACCGCUGCACUGGAUGGGCUCUUGAAGCAGCAGGAGACUCCACACCAUCCCCAUACGCUCCUGGUUUCAGGAAAUUCCCUGCAAUCAGGGAGGGAUUUCACGGGGACAAAGGAACGAGUCAUGCCAGAUUCAAGCACCUAUGGCUGGAAGUCAGAAAAGGAGAUUAAAGCAGAGUAGUUGCUACACACCAGCUGCUCAGUGGUCUGCAAAGAACUGCUCCUUUGAGCAGCACGGCUACUUGCCUGUGUCCGAUGGCUUUCUGGAUACUGGAACAUGUUGUGCUCACAGUAUGAAAAGGAAAAAAUUAUCUGUAUUAGUCAUAGGUAGCUGAGUGCCAUCUGUUACCCAGGCUGAAAGUGAACAUUCACCUCAAACUCUUUCAUGAUUACUGUUUGCCUUCUGGAGGAGGUGCUACUGGGGUAAAGACAUGCUACGGAAAUAGGGAGUUUUGUCAUCUCCUUUUGGUAAGCUCUAUUUGUUCUAAGUAUUACAGUUGCCUUUUAAUAUUUUAAUUAUGUUGACUUUGGCUUUUUAUUUGGAAAUCACUGUAUGUUUCCAAAAAAGAAACAUUAAAAAAAGCAUUUUUCUGGAAAAAAAAAGAAAAAUCAAUGUCCAAAGCAAGAACUGCUUGAUACCUGCUUUCUUUGUUCUUAGGCUUAUGCAAGUCGUACCUAAAAGUUAUAGGCCUGCAGAAUCUGGCCAUUAUGCCCCAAAUACUCUGACUAUAGUGUAGCAAAGAGGUUUCUUUCAUUUAUCUUUUAUUGUCUGGUAUCUUCCAAAUGCCCCCAUACACCACUAAUUGUCCAUUACUAACCUUGAGAAUGCAUACUUAACACCUUCUUACAUCUGCUGCUUAGUUCAACUAUUGUCUUUUUGUGACCCAAGUGCUAGAACUUAGCCCUCAAGUGAAUUUAUUAAUAGAUAAUUCAUAAAUAUGUUUAUGACAAUAAUAAAAGCAUUAUUUUUUCAUAUCUAGGCUAUGCUGUGCAGUAACAUCAGAACAAAAUGGUCAAAUUCCAAUAAUUUGUUAACAGACAACUGAAAGCAAACAAACUCAUAAACAUUAACAUUUUAAUGACUUACAUUCUGCAAAUGAUUUCUAAACACCAUGAUGACAACUAGGUAGUGCACACAAGAGAGAUUCCUUCAGCAUCUGUGUUUUUAGCCUCAAAUAUUGCUGCAGUACAUCAACAAGUUUUCAUCAUCAAAUCUGUAAUUAAAAAGUAAGAAAAUAUCACAGUCACCUAGGAAUAUCUGAACUGCUUUGAAACUGAAAAUCUUGUUUUGAAUCAGAAUUCAACAGGAAACCCAGCUCACCCAAGAACUUGAUUUGUCUGUUUUUCUGUUUGUUUGUUUUAUAUCCAUAGUUCCCCCAUGGUGGAGAAAUAGAUUAACUUGAGCUAAAAGAGUGCCUGCAUAUUUGCAUAAUAUUAGCCCUGAAAAAAAACACUAAGGACUACCAGGUAUAAGAUGAAACAGAAAACUAACGUAUGUAUUUCUUGGCAGUUUUUCAGCAUUUUUGUGUUUAAGACAUUGACCUACUUUCCAGAUUCUUUCAGCUCUAUCUAGUAAUCCUUAAACUCAAACUGAAAGAAACUUACUGUUCAAAAUGAAAAAUUCACUUUGGUAGAACGGGUUCUCAAAUACCAGGUAUGACUACAACAUGUUUCUCAUAGUUAAUUUUCACACUGUUGUAACUUACUUCAGUUUCUACAGUCACAGCAGCAUUUAGUAGUAGACUAAUUACUAGGAAAAUUCUCUCAGAUCUCUCAGUUGUUUUUAUCUGUGAUAUCUUUUAUGCUCUUGAUUAAUAGGAACCUCAGACCUUUAAAAAACAAAAAUUCAUUUAGGGAUUUCUACUUAAAAAGAGAACUUGGUAAACAUAACAUGAGGACCACACAGCUGUACAAGAAAAGUGGAGAGGGAAAAGUAAUUAUGCCAAGUUUCACUAAUGAACUGAUCUAUCUAAAUGGCUUCUACCACUCAAAACUCUUUUUUCCCCAUUUUUAACAUAUCUACUUGAACACCGUACCUUUUUUUGUGUGUUUUUGUGUGUGUGUGUUAUGUUACAUUAUGGCAAGAUUUGUUUUAUCACAUAGGAAAAUAUCUCCUGGGAUACAGGUGGUAAAGUUCAGGCAUGUAUGGGAAUACUCAUUGCAAUAGUUAGUAUUAAAAAAAAUAUAUGGAAGGAUGACUUAGCAUAUAUUAAUCAUCAUUGUUAAGAAUUAUGCCUAUGUAGAAAAUUGGGAUGAUGUGACAAACUAUCUGCAUCAUUGCAACUGCAAUGUGUUUCUCAGGUAAAGUGGUAGCUGAGUGCCCAGUUCUACAACAUUGCUUUCAUAAUAUUAAAAACUUAGCUGCAAACAUUAUUGAUUAUUCCAGAGCCAGUCCAAGCCUCCCACUGUGCUCUGGUGCCUUCUUUUCCCCUCUACCCCAUUCCCUCUCUGCUGAGUGGGGGGAUGGGAUACUCCAACACAACCUCUGUGAGAAAAAUGAGUGCGUUGAAUAAAAACAGAAUCAUGCUGAAAAGGAAUCUAAGAAUAUCACCCGUGCCCAAAGACUCAUGAAAAUACAUGAAGGAUUUCCCUUGAUAUACAUUCAGACACAGAUUGUGUUUACCUCUCUGGGAUAUGGAGCUGAUUAUUCAUCAUCAGUAUCUCAUCAGAAACAGAAGUUUCAGUUUCCACCCGUAUGUAAUGAAAAUGAUACGAUCACAUCAGCAUAUUUUAUUAUUAUUGUUACAUCAAAUCAUCAUCCCUAGGUACAUAUAAACACACUUUUUCUCCACUGAAAUAGCGCACUAGGUGGCCUCUUUAUAAAAUAAUAAAAACAAAAGUGUUCACAAAGAUUUGCGUCAAAAACUAUUCAUCCGUCCAAGGAAUAGAAUCAAGCAGCAUCUCUGCACACUUGUAAUAAAAUCUGCAUGACUGUCUUGAUAGUACUAAGUCCCUUAUUAAGUAAAAGGAACCUAGCAUCAUUAAAUAGAAGCAGCCUGAGGUGCAGUGAGAGAUCAUCCUCUCCCUCUGUUCAAUCCUCAUAGAGACAGAGGAACAUAAUUUUACAGGAUGUCAAAUAAAAAUUCAUACUGUCCCAUAUAAAACCUAAAAAGGCCGAUGGGACCAUCACCUUCUAACAUAGGACAAAAAUCAAUAAAUUUGUAGCAUUUCACACUGAGUGAAUCCUUGCACUUCUAAGGUCAACAGAAGCUUUAAAAGGAGAAGUGCAGCUCUAUUAAGUUGCCAAGGUCCAUGUCUAACCCCCUUCAUUGCACUGGCACCAGAUCUCCAGUACUGGAUUAACCUGGAGUAAGAGCAGCAGAGUUGAGUUGAUGCAAAGCUAUGAAUAAUGAAAGGCUUAGGGCAGGGGAUUAAAAAUACAGUUGAGAAGUUCAUCAAGGAAAAAAAAUUCAUAAAUCUCUUGAAUCCACUAAUAGCAGAAAUUCAGACAGGUAUAACUGCCCCGGUGAGCAUAUCUGCCUCUUCUGACAACCCUCAAAGAGAUCCCAACAACACAUUCUCCUGAACCAUCUCACCAAUUGGAAUAAUAGAGCUAAAAUUUCAAAACAACCAUUGGGAAUUAAAUUAGUUUUGCUGCUGCAUCCACCCUUGGGGAUGUUUGUCCAACUCUGACAGUCUCCAGAGAAAUAGCAACUUUAACUGAUGUCUAUCAACUGUUUCUGUGUCUUUCAACAAUCCAUGUUAAAAGCCCUUCUUCCUAAUACUCAGUCAAAAUAUUCUUUCUUGGAAAUUCUUCACCCUACUGUAUUGUUACAUAUUCUUGCAAAUACCCUUCAUACUUUUGACAGCUGUUCUGUAUCAUCCUCAAGACGUCGCAGCCGUUGUAAAGUGCACUAACAAUAAAAGCUCUUCUGCCAUCAAACGCCAAGCAGCCCUUCCUUUCCAUGCACGUAUGCAUGAAUUCACAUGCACACAUACAGCCUUGAGACUGAAAAUGAAACAAAUCUUGUUUUACAAUGCAAAGUCUGAGAAUAACAUCUCGCACUUAACAACACAAGGCACGGAACUGGAGAAAACUCAGGAAAUGCUCAUGAAAUUCUGUCAUUUGAAAGCCGCCUACAAAAAAACACAGAGAAGCAUUUCUGAGAAAAUUUUCUGUUUGAACAGAAGCAUUUACUGGAUAAUCUACUGGGUUUGGUUUUUUGUUUGUUUGUUGUGCUUUUUCCCAUAAUCUUUUUUUUUUAUUACAUUUUUUUCAAUCUAUAUUCAUUAUUACACCAUCUGUCGUUCUAAUAAUGAAAAUAAAUAAACUAAUGUUGAAUUCCAAGACUAUAACACCUGAAUUACGAACUUAAAAAUGUUAUUCAUGCAUCAAGUGAUAAAAACUUUUCUCAUCUCCAGCUAUUUAGAUUUCCU
ensembl:lncRNA